GAUUACAAGCGUGAGCCACCAUGCCUGGGCCCUUCAUCUCUCUAAACUCAUUUCACCUGUAAAACUGGGCUAAUGGCACCACAUGCCUUAUUCAACGUGAGGUGGACUGUGACAGUCACGUGGGAGAAGGAGCGGGAGAGGUCUGGCAGCUGUGGCGUCUCCCAGAACCAACAUCCCGGGUAACCGGGUGGCUGAAGGACAGGUGACGUGUCCCUACCUCCCCCCCUUCCCUGCCCGAGGCUCCGGCAUCCACCGUCUUGCCUUCCUGCUCUUCAAGCAGGACCAGCUGAUUGACUUCUCCGAGGACGCACGCCCCUCACCCUGCUAUCAGCUGGCCCAGCGGACCUUCCGCACUUUUGAUUUCUACAAGAAACACCAAGAAGCCAUGACUCCAGCCGGCUUGUCCUUCUUCCAGUGCCGCUGGGAUGACUCCGUCACCUACAUCUUCCACCAGCUUCUAGACAUGCGGGAGCCGGUGUUUGAGUUCGUGCGGCCGC
rnacentral:sRNA from 1 species